CUCCCGGUUGCUCUUCGUUUGGGGAACGAAGGAGAUAUUUCAAUAUAAAAUGUGGGCGAAACGAGACGGCUUACUAAAAACACAAAGCAAGACGAAAACAGUACGCGGUCCAUAGUAGGUAAUAGGCAAUUAGAGAACCAGUUUGGUUUAGUGCUUAAAGGCACCUGUCUAGAAAGCAGGAGACUGAGUUGCAGCCCCGUUUUAGGUAUGAAAGCCGGCUGGGUGACUUUGGGCCAGUCACUCACGCUCAAUCCACGAGGCUUCGGCAACAAGGUCCCUGUCGCAACCAAUGGAUCAACACUCGGUGGAUCCGAAAAGCAGAUCCUCUUUUUACGGGGAAAAAGGUUGGAAGAAAAAAAUCGGAGACAUAUGCUAUGGGAUAUUUAAAAAAAGUCAAGAUUACAGCCACAACUAUGCAAUUGAAGCCCCACCUCUUUUAAAGUGCAUAUAUUGAAAAGGACUGUUUACAGAGACACAGAAAUUCUAUUUCCAGUUCGGAUGAAGAAAAGAGAGGAGGCCAUUCAGUGUAUGUGUUAUUUAUGUAUUUAUGCUUCACCCAAAUUGUGAAACCAAUUUUCAUGCUGCAAGCCAGACAUUUUCAAAUGUAAUAUGGUAGCCCUAUGGUACAAAUAUAUAAUGUAUUGAUUGAUAUCCUGUCUUUGAUGUGAUUGUUUGGCCCUUGACAUUUGGAUGGAAUGUAAAUUACCCUGCUGUAAUGGAAAUGACAGAUGCAUUUUGGGAGCAAAGUAUUCUUCAAGGCCGGUUCCACUAACACUGAUACUGAAUUUAUUUUUACUCUUAGCCCUUUUUAUAACCACACUGACUGUUGUUGAUACUAUCAUUAGAGGCUGUGAACAUUGGUUGUGUUACAUCCAAAAAUAAAUAAGUAGGUGUCCUUUGGGGAAAGCUGUAUUGUUGGAACUCUCAUAUAACAAAUACAAGAUCUCUAUGUCACAAAAUUUCUAUAAUUGGAAUCCUAUUCUUUUUUUAAGUUUAUGGAAUUAUUUCAUCUAUUUGAUCCAUUGACAAAGAUCAAAAGAAAUACAGCAAUAGAA